AAGUCGUAACAAGGUAUCCGUAGGUGAACCUGCGGAUGGAUCAUUACAGUAUUGACUGCUUUUUGUAGUCUUGCUACACACUCAACCAUUGUGCAUUGUUUCGUGGCGCUCGCGUCACAACACUUUUUCACCACUGAUUGAGUAAACACAUAUACAUAAAAUACGCAUAAAACUUUUAGCAACGGAUCUCUAGGCUCUC
rnacentral:misc_RNA from 1 species